rnacentral:piRNA from 1 species
UACUUGCACCUCAAGCUGCUCCGGAC